UACAGAGGGUGCGAGCGUUAAUCGGAAUUACUGGGCAUAAAGCGUGCGUAGACGGCUAUCUAAGUCGGGCGUGAAAUCCCUAGGCUCAACCUAGGAACUGCACUCGAAACUGCGUUUCUUGAGUAUCGGAGAGGAAAGCGGAAUUCCUGGUGUAGAGGUGAAAUUCGUAGAUAUCAGGAGGAACACCAGUGGCGAAGGCGGCUUUCUGGACGGUAACUGACGCUGAGACGCGAAAAGCGUGGGGGAGCAAACAGG
rnacentral:rRNA from 1 species